UACGUAGGGGGCAAGCGUUGUUCGGAAUUACUGGGCGUAAAGGGCGCGUAGGCGGGAUGGCAAGUCGGUCGUGAAAUCCUCGGCUCGAACCGAGGAACGUCGAUCGAUACUGCUGUUCUUGAGGAUUGCAGAGGAGACUGGAAUUCCCGGUGUAGCGGUGAAAUGUGUAGAGAUCGGGAGGAACACCGGUGGCGAAGGCGGCGUUCUGGACUGGUUACUGACACUGAGGAACGAAAGCCAGGGGAGCAAACGGG
rnacentral:rRNA from 1 species